rnacentral:rRNA from 1 species
GUUGUAUGGUUAAGUGACUAAGCGUAUGCGGUGGAUGCCUUGGCAGUUAGAGGCGAUGAAGGACGUGUUAAUCUGCGAUAAGCAUUGGGAAGUUGAUAAAAGACGUUAUACCCAAUGAUUUCCGAAUGGGGAAACCCGGUACUCUUUGAGUAUCAUCUGCAACUGAAUACAUAGGUUGUAGAGGCAAACGCAGGGAACUGAAACAUCUAAGUACCUGUAGGAACAGAAAUCAAUUGAGAUUUCGUUAGUAGCGGCGAGCGAACGCGAAUUAGCCCUUAAGCUUUUUAUGAGUUAGUGGAACGGUCUGGAAAGUCCGGCGAUACAGGGUGAUAGCCCCGUACACGAAAACAAUUUUAAAGUGAAAUCGAGUAGGUCGGGACACGUGAUAUCUUGACUGAACAUGGGGGGACCAUCCUCCAAGGCUAAAUACUCCUAACUGACCGAUAGUGAACCAGUACCGUGAGGGAAAGGCGAAAAGAACCCCUGUGAGGGGAGUGAAAUAGAACCUGAAACCGCAUACGUACAAGCAGUGGGAGCCCCUUCGGGGGUGACUGCGUACCUUUUGUAUAAUGGGUCAGCGACUUACAUUCUGUAGCAAGGUUAACCGUAUAGGGGAGCCGUAGGGAAACCGAGUCUUAACUGGGCGUCGAGUUGCAGGGUGUAGACCCGAAACCGAGUGAUCUACCCAUGGCCAGGUUGAAGGUUGAGUAACAUCAACUGGAGGACCGAACCCACUAAUGUUGAAAAAUUAGGGGAUGAGCUGUGGGUAGGGGUGAAAGGCCAAUCAAACUCGGAGAUAGCUGGUUCUCCCCGAAAGCUAUUUAGGUAGCGCCUCGGACUUAUGCCACUGGGGGUAGAGCACUGUUUCGGCUAGGGGGUCAUCCCGACUUACCAACCCGAUGCAAACUCCGAAUACCAGUGAGUACUAUCCGGGAGACACACGGCGGGUGCUAACGUCCGUCGUGGAGAGGGAAACAACCCAGACCGCCAGCUAAGGUCCCAAAGUUAUCACUAAGUGGGAAACGAUGUGGGAAGGCUCAGACAGCUAGGAGGUUGGCUUAGAAGCAGCCACCCUUUAAAGAAAGCGUAAUAGCUCACUAGUCGAGUCGGCCUGCGCGGAAGAUGUAACGGGGCUAAGUGAUACACCGAAGCUGCGGCAAUGCGAUUUAUCGUAUUGGGUAGGGGAGCGUUCUGUAAGCGGUUGAAGGUGUGCUGUAAGGCAUGCUGGACGUAUCAGAAGUGCGAAUGCUGACAUGAGUAACGACAAAGCGGGUGAAAAACCCGCUCGCCGGAAGACCAAGGUUUCCUGUCCAAUGCUAAUCAGGGCAGGGUAAGUCGACCCCUAAGGUGAGGCCGAGAGGCGUAAUCGAUGGGAAACAGGUUAAUAUUCCUGUACCGACAUGUACUGCGAUGGGGGGACGGAGAAGGCUAAAUGGGCCAGGCGUUGGUUGUCCUGGUUUAAGUGUGUAGGUUGAUGGUUUAGGUAAAUCCGGACCGUCUUAAGACUGAGACACGAUAUCGAGACUCUACGGAGUUGAAGUCAUUGAUGCCAUGCUUCCAGGAAAAGCCUCUAAGCUUCAGGUACAUGUUGAUCGUACCCCAAACCGACACAGGUGGUCAGGUAGAGAAUACUAAGGCGCUUGAGAGAACUCGGGUGAAGGAACUAGGCAAAAUAGUACCGUAACUUCGGGAGAAGGUACGCUGCUGACGGUGAUGGGACUUGCUCCCUAAGCUGUUGGCAGUCGCAGUGACCAGGUGGCUGGGACUGUUUAUUAAAAACACAGCACUCUGCAAACUCGAAAGAGGACGUAUAGGGUGUGACACCUGCCCGGUGCCGGAAGGUUAAUUGAUGGGGUUAUCUUCGGAGAAGCUCUUGAUCGAAGCCCCGGUAAACGGCGGCCGUAACUAUAACGGUCCUAAGGUAGCGAAAUUCCUUGUCGGGUAAGUUCCGACCUGCACGAAUGG